GCUGGCUUAGCUUAGCUGCCUCCCGUAGGAGUGCGCUUUGGUAGGAGACUAAGGGGGAGGGGAGCAGGGUAGGUCUAGAAAGACAGUAGCAAAGAGGGGGGUGAGGCUUAGGGAGGGAGGAGAGAGACACUUCCAGGAGUGGCUGCACGGGCGGCGGUGCCGGGAGGGAGGUUUAGCAGCGGCUGGGCUCUUAGAGGCAAGUUGUCGUUCCAGUACCGUCUUUGGUAUCUAGAUUGUCCCCUACCUCCGCAAGAAUUCUGCCACCAGUCUUUUCGUUUCCUACUACGAUAUUCGGGUAGACUAUCGGAAGGUAACCAACUACAAGUAAUACUUCCCUGUGAACGACUUUUACCGCUUCAAAAACUGUGGUGUGUACUUCUGUUAAGAUAAAAAAGUAAACUUCAACCGGUCCCUCGACAGUAAUUUCGUACCCUAUAUCGGAAUUCUUGAUACUUUCAACCGCUCUAACGUUUUUAUUGUACGUCCGGCCUUAUACGCAUACCUUCAGGUCCGAGCGGCGGUCUCUAUGGUCGCUUACGUUGUGAGUAAAAACUCCACCUUAAUGACCGAACGUUCGGUUCCUUUCCAAGUUCAGACCCGUCACAUAGACUACUCUUUCGGUCCGAUCUCCUCGAAUUCUUUGUCGCCCUCGACAGACGGCGGUGGUUUCUCCUUCUCUUCUUCUUCUCCCUCCUCCGUUUCCGGCGCCGUCGCCGAGCACACGUUCGGUUUGAACUGCGGUUCUUCCCGUUCCCUUUUCCUUUCCCGUUUAUCUAAUGAGGGUUGACUACAUAAUCAGCAACGUAAACGACGACUCACGAUGACAACAUUGGAUGAGGGAGGCAGAGUAGUUUUUUGUAAAAUGUAAUACCCUACAUCAUCAUCUUUUAUUAGACGUGUUUCGUAUCUAACGGACAACGGAACAACCGAUGACACGAAGCCCCCUCUACCGCAUACAACGGGUCGUGGUCGGAAUGACUUUUGUAAUUUAUUAGUGUCGUUAGAAGAGAACCAAAAAUGACGCGUC
rnacentral:rRNA from 1 species